rnacentral:ncRNA from 1 species
CCUUCUCGCCAGGGGAGCCCCGCCCGAGAUCGUCGCCGGGGCUGAGAGGCCGAGGGCGCGCUGCUUCGGGCGCGGGUCGGCGACCCUUCGAACCUGAUCCGGUUGGAACCGGCGGAGGGAGGGCCCUUGAUCCCUAUA